rnacentral:rRNA from 1 species
GCAAGUCGAGCGGUAACAGGAAGUAGCUUGCUACUUCGCUGACGAGCGGCGGACGGGUGAGUAACGCGUGGGAACCUGCCCUGGAGUGGGGAAUAACCACUGGAAACGGUGGCUAAUACCGCAUGUGUCCUGAGGGACAAAGGCUUCGGCCGCUCUGGGAUGGGCCCGCGUCCGAUUAGCUAGUUGGUGAGGUAACGGCUUACCAAGGCGACGAUCGGUAGCUGGUCUGAGAGGAUGAUC